rnacentral:rRNA from 1 species
UAGUGCCUACGGGGCGCAGCAGUGGGGAAUAUUGCACAAUGGGGGAAACCCUGAUGCAGCGACGCCGCGUGGGCGAGGAAGUACCUCGGUAUGUAAAGCCCUAUCAGCAGGGAAGAAACAGGACAGUACCUGACUAAGAAGCCCCGGCUAACUACGUGCCAGCAGCCGCGGUAAUACGUAGGGGGCAAGCGUUAUCCGGAUUCACUGGGCGUGAAGGGAGCGCAGGCGGC